GGCCUCUCUCCCAUGGGACUGUGAAGGGUCCCUUUUCUCCUCACCCAGGGCUGGAGGCCAAGAUCAGCCCUUGAGGAUCAUUGUUGGGGCUUGCAAUGAGCUGGCAGCCUUGUUUUCCAGUCUCAGACAGCG